AUAGCAAUAUGAACAAAGAGAAUUUAGGACAAUAUAGAGGUCCCACAAAACGCUCACAUCAAAUUGUAUUGCGUUGGAACCCAUAAUUUUUAGGCUUUAAUUUAUUCUAUUUAUGUAGCUAAUUUUUCAUGUAACUUUUGCUUCCUUUAUCUUCAGCUUCCUAUACUAAGACUAGUUAGUGUGUUUUGACCAACACUUUCCUUUUGCUUCUCCAAGUGACAAGGUUUCCCCCGAUAAGUGUGCAAUAACAAUUGGUCGACCUCCUAUUGUCAAGGGAUCCAACCCAAUAUCCAACCCAAUUUGCAUCUGUGAAUGCAUGUAUACACCAUGUUUAGAGAAUAAGAAACCUUUUCCAGGAGGAGACUUCAAGUAUCGCAAAAUACGAAAAACAGCUUGCAUGAACAUCAUGUAGAAUUUUUGCGAAAAACAGCUUGUAUUAGGAUCAUGCAGAAACUGACUGACUAAACUAAAUGCAUAUGCUAUGUCUGGUCUAGUAUGCGAAAGAUAAAUCAGUAUGUCUACCAACCUCUAAUACCUGCCAAUAUCCACUGAUUCACCAAUACAAGCAAGCAGGGAUUGCUCUCAACAGGAGUUUCUGCUGGUUUGCAGCCUAACAUACUAAUUCUUUCCAAAAAAUUCAAAAUGUAUUUUCUCCUAGAAAUAAAGAUUCCCUUCUUUGAUUUGACAAUCUUGAUUCCCAGGAAAUAUUGAAAUUUUCCUAAACUUUUAAUUUCAAACUCCUGAACCAAAAGCUUUUUCAGCCGAGUCAUUUCUCAGUGUCAUCCCCUGUCAUUACUAUGUCAUCAACAUAAAUUAUGAGAAGUGUAAUUUUACCCUUGUGAUGUCUGAUAAAUAUAGUAUAAUUAGCAUUGCUUUAUUGAUAGUAAAAAUAAUCAUAACUCUGCUGAAUCAAUCAAACCAAACUCUGAGCGAUUGUUUCAACCCAUACAAACCCUCCUUUAGCCUACACACAUUUCCUUGUAUUUUUUCAUCAACAAAUCCCGGAGGAAUUUCCAUAUACACUUCCUCCUCCAAGUCUCCAUGAAAGAAUGCAUGUUUCACAUCAAAUUGUUAUACGUCCUACUCAAGAUUGGCAACGCAAGAUAGCAAUACUCUAAUAGAGUUCAUUUGGCAAUAGGGGCAAAUGUCUUCUGGUAAUCCACUCCAUAAAUUUGAGUGUAUCCCUUGACAACUAGCCUGGCCUUGAAUCUUUCAAUUGAUCCAAUAGGUUUUUGAAAGGUUCAUGGUGAAAAGAAGAUAUCAGGUUACUUUCAACAGGUGUCUAUUUUUUCUUUCAGCAAUACCAUUUUGGGCACUAGUUUGAUGCAGCAUCCCAUUAGACUCCAGAUAGGCAGAAAAACUUCCAUUCAUAUACUUUGUGCCAUUAUUAGUUCUCAAGACUUCUAUCUUAGUAUCAAAUAGAGUACAAACCAUCUUGUGAAAAAAUUGAAAGGAAGAAAACACAUCACUCUUUGCCUUUAUCAAAUAAACCAAAGUCAUACAAGUGCAGCAAUCAAUAGAAGUAACAAAUCAACAAUUUCUAGAUAGUUAUACAGUUUGAGUAGGUCCCCAAAUGUCAGAAUGGAUGGUCACAAAAAAGAUCGUACUCCUAUUGUUACUGGAGGGAUAAGAGAUCCUUAUAUGCUUAGCAUACUCACAAGCAUCACAAACUAAAGAACCACAUUGAGCCUUGGAAAAUAAAUCAGGAUAAAGUUUG
rnacentral:lncRNA from 1 species